rnacentral:rRNA from 1 species
GACGAACGCGGGCGGCGUGCCUAAUACAUGCAAGUCGAGCGAGCUUGCCUAGAUGAAUUUGGUGCUUGCACCAAAUGAAACUAGAUACAAGCGAGCGGCGGACGGGUGAGUAACACGUGGGUAACCUGCCCAAGAGACUGGGAUAACACCUGGAAACAGAUGCUAAUACCGGAUAACAACACUAGACGCAUGUCUAGAGUUUAAAAGAUGGUUCUGCUAUCACUCUUGGAUGGACCUGCGGUGCAUUAGCUAGUUGGUAAGGUAACGGCUUACCAAGGCAAUGAUGCAUAGCCGAGUUGAGAGACUGAUCGGCCACAUUGGGAUGAGACACGGCCCAAACUCCUACGGGAGGCAGCAGUAGGGAAUCUUCCACAAUGGACGCAAGUCUGAUGGAGCAACGCCGCGUGAGUGAAGAAGGGUUUCGGCU